rnacentral:rRNA from 1 species
UGGCGAAAGGGUGCGUAAUGGAUGGGUAGCGUACCCCGGGCUUCAGGAUAUCUGUCCGAAAGGGCAUGAAAUACCGGAUGAUAUCAUCCCCCGUUGGGUCGAUGAUCAUGCAUUCUGCGGCCUGGGAGCGGCCUAUCUCCUAUCGGAUUCUUGGUGAGGUAACGCUUCACCGCCGUUAAUACUGGUAGCGGGACUGAGAGGUUGGCCCGCCACAUCGGGACUGAGACAAUGUCCGGACCCCCCCGGGGGGCUGCAGUAACCAAUCUGGGGCCAUGUCCGAAAGCCUGACCCAACGACGCCGCUUGCGCUAGGAACUCCUUCUGGAUGUAAACCUCUGUCAGGGCUCUGAAAGUCCGCUUCGGCGGAUUGAUCGAGUCCAGAGGAAGUCACGGCUAACUCUGUGCCAGCUACCCGCGGUAUGACAGACGUGGCUAGCGUUCUUCGGUAUCACUGGGCUUAAAGCGUGUGUACGCGGAAGCGUAAGCGUUUUGUGAAAUUCCCGGCUCAACCGGGGCAUUGCUGGACGAACUGCGUUUCUUGAGGCAGGUAAGGGUGCGCGGAACUCUCGGUGGAGCGGUGGAAUGCGUAGAUAUCAAGAGGAACGCGCGGUGGAGAAGUCGGCGCACUGGGCCUGUCAUGACGAUGAGACACGAAAGCGUGGGGAGCGAUCGGGAUCAGAUAUCUCGGUAGUCCACGCCGUGAACGAUGCAUAGUAGGUUGUGGCGCAUCUGACGCCGGCACAGCCGAAGCGCAAAGUGUUAAGUAGGCCGCAUGGGGAGUACGGUCGCAAGGCUAAAACUCAAAGGAAUUGAAGGGGGCUCUCACAAGCGGUGGAGCAUGUGGAUUAAUUCGAAGCAACGUGCAGAACCUUACCUGGGUUUGACAUGCUUGGAUGCUUGCCGGGAAACCGGUUAAGUUGCCCUUCGGGGUGAAACUUGCACAGGUGCUGCAUGGUCGUGGUCAGCUCUUGUUGUGAGAUGUCGGGUUAAGUCCCUUAACGAGCGAAACCCUUGCUGUUACUUGCCAGGGGGUCAUGUCGGGGAUUCUAACGGGACUGCCGGUGUUAAACCGGAGGAAGGUGGGGAUGACGUCAAGUCAUCAUGGCCUUUAUGCCCAGGGCCUCACAUCACAUACAAUGGCCGGUACAGAGCGACGGGAGACCUCGAGGUGGAGCCAAUCGCAAAAAGCCGGCCUCAGUUCGGAUUGCAGGAUGGCAAUUUGCUUGCUUGAAGGUGGAAUGGCUAUUAAUUGUGUAUCAGUGAUGACGCGGGGAAUGUGUUCCUGAGCGUUGUACACCCCGCCCGUCAAGUGAUGGUAGUUGGGAGUACCAGAAGU